rnacentral:rRNA from 1 species
CCCCAGACUCCUACGGGAGGCAGCAGUGGGGAAUAUUGCACAAUGGGGGAAACCCUGAUGCAGCGACGCCGCGUGAGUGAAGAAGUCUUUCGGUAUGUAAAGCUCUAUCAGCAGGGAAGAAAAUGACGGUACCUGACUAAGAAGCCCCGGCUAACUACGUGCCAGCAGCCGCGGUAAUACGUAGGGGGCAAGCGUUAUCCGGAUUUACUGGGUGUAAAGGGAGCGUAGACGGCGGAACAAGUCAGAAGUGAAAGCCCGGGGCUCAACCCUGGGAGUGCUUUUGAAACUGUUUGGCUGGAGUGCAGGAGAGGUAAGCGGAAUUCCUAGUGUAGCGGUGAAAUGCGUAGAUAUUAGGAGGAACACCAGUGGCGAAGGCGGCUUACUGGACUGUAACUGACGUUGAGGCUCGAAAGCGUGGGGAGCAAACAGGAUUAGAUACCCCUGUAA